rnacentral:rRNA from 1 species
CCUACGGGAGGCAGCAGUGGGGAAUAUUGGGCAAUGGAGGCGACUCUGAACCAGCAACGUCGCGUGAAGGAAGACGGCCCUAGGGUUGUUAACUUUUGUUGAUAUGGGAGUAAAAAAUUCCGGUACUUUACAAUUAUGCCCAGGCUAACUAUGUGCCACCAGCCGCGGUAAGACAUAGGCGGCAAGCGUUGUUCGGAAUUACUGGUCGUAAAGGGAGCGUAGGUGGGAGAUUAAGUUAAGAGUGAAAGCCUUGGGCUUAACCCAAGAAAUGGUGUUAAUACUGGUUUUCUAGAGUGUGGGAGAGGUAAGUGGAAUUCCUAGUGUAGCGGUAGAAUGCGUAGAGAUUAGGAAGAACAGCAGAGGCGAAGGCAGCUUACUGGACCAUAACUGACGCUGAGGCUCGAAAGCGUGGGGAGCAAACAGGAUUAGAUACCCGAGUAGUC